UACAGAGGGGGCAAGCGUUAUUCGGAAUUACUGGGCGUAAAGGGCGCGUAGGCGGCCUGCUAAGUCGGAUGUGAAAUCCCUCGGCUUAACCGAGGAACUGCAUCCGAUACUGGCGGGCUUGAAUCCGGGAGAGGGAUGUGGAAUUCCAGGUGUAGCGGUGAAAUGCGUAGAUAUCUGGAGGAAGACCGGUGGCGAAGGCGGCAUCCUGGACCGGUAUUGACGCUGAGGCGCGAAAGCUAGGGGAGCAAACGGG
rnacentral:rRNA from 1 species